CAGGCAAAUACUGUGGCUUCAUCAAUUGGCGUGGCAGGAUUACCAUGGGUUAUAAUGGCAGAGAUAUUCCCUAUAAACAUCAAGGGUGCGGGUGGCAGCCUGGUGACUACAGUGAAAUGGUCCUGUACUUGGAUUAUUACAUACACUUUCAAUUAUAUGAUGAAAUGGAGUGAAGCAGGAACAUUUUUCUUAUACUCAAGCAUUUGUGGUUUGACUGUUCUAUUCGUCGCAAAAUUGGUGCCAAAGACAAAGGGGUGAGCUCUGGAAGAAAUAGAAGCAUCAAUUACCCAUUCUUCUACAAUAAGAUAAGGUCCAAGUAAUGCUAGUAAAUGAUUCUUAUAAUAAGUAGUAAACAAGUCAGUUGAAGUGUAUCAUAA